rnacentral:tRNA from 1 species
GCCCAGGUGGCGGAAUUGGUAGACGCGCUAGCUUCAGGUGCUAGUGCCCAAUAGGGCGUGGAAGUUCGAGUCUUCUCCUGGGCACCA